AUCAUGCCCCUUAUGAUUUGGGCUACACACGUGCUACAAUGGACAAUACAAAGGGCAGCGAAACCGCGAGGUCAAGCAAAUCCCAUAAAGUUGUUCUCAGUUCGGAUUGUAGUCUGCAACUCGACUACAUGAAGCUGGAAUCGCUAGUAAUCGUAGAUCAGCAUGCUACGGUGAAUACGUUCCCGGGUCUUGUACACACCGCCCGUCACACCACGAGAGUUUGUAACACCCGAAGCCGGUGGAGUAACCUUUUAGGAGCUAGCCGUCGAAGGUGGGACAAAUGAUUGGGGUGAAGUCGUAACAAGGUAGCCGUAUCGGAAGGUGCGGCUGGAUCACCUCCUUUCU
rnacentral:rRNA from 1 species